rnacentral:misc_RNA from 1 species
GCAAACUUGGUCAUUUAGAGGAAGUAAAAGUCGUAACAAGGUCUCCGUUGGUGAACCAGCGGAGGGAUCAUUACUGAGUUUUACAACUCCCAACCCCUUUGUGAACAUACCUAUCGUUGCUUCGGCGGGAUCGCCCCGGCGUGCCCCGAAAGGGGCCGGCCCGGACCCGGCGCCCGCCGGAGGCCACUAAACCUUCUGUUUUGCAAACUGUAACGUCUGAGUGGUACAAUAAAUGAAUCAAAACUUUCAACAACGGAUCUCUUGGCUCUGGCAUCGAUGAAGAACGCAGC